rnacentral:rRNA from 1 species
AUUGAACGCUGGCGGCAUGCCUUACACAUGCAAGUCGAACGGCAGCGCGGACUUCGGUCUGGCGGCGAGUGGCGAACGGGUGAGUAAUGUAUCGGAACGUACCAUUCAGUGGGGGAUAACGCAGCGAAAGUUGCGCUAAUACCGCAUAUUCUGUGCGCAGGAAAGCAGGGGAUCGCAAGACCUUGCGCUGAUUGAGCGGCCGAUAUCAGAUUAGCUAGUUGGUGAGGUAAAGGCUCACCAAGGCGACGAUCUGUAGCGGGUCUGAGAGGAUGUGCCGCCUCACUGGAGCUAAUACAGGGUCCAGACUCCUACGGGAUGAAGCAGUGGGACAAUAUGGACUAUGGGCGCACGCCUGAGCCAGCCAUGCCGCGUGAGUGAAGAGGGCCUUCGUGUUGUAAAGCACUUUCGGCCCGGAAGAAAUCGUAUGGGUUACUACCCUGUGCGGAUGACGGUACCGGCAUAAGAAGCGCCGGCUAACUACGUGCCAGCCGCCGCAGUAAGAC